AGGACGAGAGGGAAGGGAAUGAAGUCUCUUCUUCUGAUUCUGGCUCUAUAGGGCUUGUUUCCUACACGGAGGCUGCGCUUGCAGCUCUGGAGGAUGCAAAUCUUGAAACCUUUCGGCAUACGCUGCGGGGACUCACAAGAAUUGCCUCUGACGAGGACUUUGUGAAUGCUUCAAGAGAUGCCGAGCGCUUGUUUGCGAGACUAAACUCGCAGCACUUCUCUGUCUUCAAGCAAGCACUUAG